AUUUAGUGACGGACAACCUCGAAAGAAACACGUGAUGUUGUUAUAAAAAUUAACUUUCGGAAACUGAUUAUAGGGAGAUUACACUAUAGAAUUUUGGUGAAUUUUUACAACAUUUGGGUAAGUAAAUUUAAUGUUAUUUUCAAUAUUUAAUCACAUUUUUAAAAAAAAUUUAUGUAUUCGAUUUUAUUUUAAUAUUCAUUCUGAGGGGUCCUAUUUUAUACAGUGAUGGUAAUUAAUAUUUUGGUGACUGAUCUAAUCAAGGUAAAAUACAUCACUGUUUUCUAUUAUUUUUCUGAAUAAUGGAAAAUAAUCCACAUCAAAAUGUCAAUUUGGAGUCUCAAAAUGAUAAAACACUCUAUCUUGACCUGAUACUCUCAAAGGAAAAUCAAUUAGAAUUUGGUCAAGCUAACCAGGAAAAAUCUCUGACGGUUGUUAAUUAAUUCUCUCAGUAAUCACUCUGUCAUGUUGAUUAAAUCGGUGGAAUUCAUGCAGGGAGAUUCCAGCAUAAAACAGGGUCUUCCCAGGUGGUCAGCCAAAGACUAAUACAAAGUCAGCUCAUAUUGCACACAAACGGUCAUCUCUCUCUUAUUGUUUAUUGAUUCUGGUGAACUGAUGUACCUUUUUUGAUAUAGAGAGAUUUUCUAUUGCAAUAUUAUGUCAUAUAUAAGAUUUUCCCCUAUUGUUAUCUUCUUACUCUAGCUAUUAUGUCAUUUGUUUUAUGUUCUAUAUCAUUUUCUUUUAGUUUGAGGGAAUAAGGGUUAAUUUAGAAAAGAACCCAGAGAUGAAAAAUUCGAAUUUGUCAUUUGUUUUAUGUAAAAUAAUUAUAUCACUUUCAUUUAGUAUGAGGGGAUAAAAGUUGAUUUUAGCAUUACAGAACCCAGAGAUGAAAAAUUCUAAUUUCAUUUUAGUAUCCUAUUAAAUAUUUGGUAUAAAAGAAUGUAUUUAUAUACAUCCAUAAUAGAUUUCAGAUUUUAGCUGAACCAAACCAAAUUAUCAAUUACAAAUUUAUUUUGAACAAAUGGCAAAGGAAUGAUAGAUUCUGGCACUUAUAUCUCUGUAGUGUAAUUAGUCUGUCCGGGGUUUGGCUAUCUACCCCAACAGGACACUAUAUCUCACCAAGACAUUAACAGCAUAUCAAUGACACUUUUAGUGUGAGGAACACAUGGAGAAGUUCUCUCCCAAUUUCAUCAGUGAUAAUGACUAUUUCUCUAGCGGCCUUCCAAGUCAUCAAUCAUCCCCAAAGUGGAGUUCAGGUGGUCACUCCAUUCCAGCCAAAGAGCUAGGGCAGCCUGAAAAAUAGUCAUCAGAAAGAUUUUAAGAAGAUGUUAAGCCGAUAAAGCCCUUUUUAAAAGCUCUGUAAUAGCUUUUAAAUUCCUGAUGUUUAUAGCCACAAUGUAACUUAUUUCAAUAACUCAAUUUUCAAACAUGUUUAUUUCUAUCAGAUAUUUUAUUUCACCAAAGUUUUUAAGUGAAAUGCAUUGAGAAAAUGAAAAAUUGCUACAUAUUGUUAAGCUUUUUUCAUUCCUGAUGUCAAAAGCUUCACUGACUAUACAAAUCAUUUACACAUAGAUAAGCCCAGCUCUAAUGGACAGAUGUGCAUGAAGAAAAUUAGUAACCAUUUACUUGAUGGGGUACAGAAAAUCAUACCAAUACAAAUUGUUAUCCAUUGAUAGAAGUU
rnacentral:sRNA from 1 species